UACGAAGGGGGCUAGCGUUGCUCGGAAUCACUGGGCGUAAAGGGUGCGUAGGCGGGUCUUUAAGUCAGGGUGAAAUCCUGGAGCUCAACUCCAGAACUGCCUUUGAUACUGAAGAUCUUGAGUCCGGGAGAGGUGAGUGGAACUGCGAGUGUAGAGGUGAAAUUCGUAGAUAUUCGCAAGAACACCAGUGGCGAAGGCGGCUCACUGGCCCGGUACUGACGCUGAGGCACGAAAGCGUGGGGAGCAAACAGG
rnacentral:rRNA from 1 species